GAGCCAUUAGCUCAGCCGGUAGAGCAUCUGACUUUUAAUCAGAGGGUCAGAGGUUCGAAUCCUCUAUGGCUCA
rnacentral:tRNA from 1 species